AUCGGGUGAUCUGGCUGCAACAUCUGUCACCUCCAUUGAUCACCAGGGUGGAUUCGGCUGAUCUGGUUGGCUAGGCGGGUGUCCCCUUCCUCCCUCACCACUUCAUUUGCGUCCCUCCUGAAGCUGCGGGCUCUGUCAAAGAGGACUGCCUUCCCCGAAUAGAGAUGGACUGGUCUUUGAGUAGCUGUGCUCCCCUGCUAGAACCUCCAAACAAGCUCUCAAAACUAGUCUCUUAUCACUGCCCCCACAUGUUCCCCCAAGAUGCUUGUCAGGAGUCAUCGUGUAUGACAGCCACACCCUAAGCUCCUGUAGACCCCAGGUCUGUUGAUUA
ensembl:misc_RNA 7SK 7SK RNA